rnacentral:rRNA from 1 species
UACGUAGGGCGCGAGCGUUGUCCGGAUUUAUUGGGCGUAAAGAGCUCGUAGGCGGCUUGUCGCGUCAACUGUGAAAACCCGUGGCUCAACCAUGUGGUCUGCAGUCGAUACGGGCAGGCUAGAAUUCGGUAGGGGAGACUGGAAUUCCUGGUGUAGCGGUGAAGUGCGCAGAUAUCAGGAGGAACACCGGUGGCGAAGGCGGGUCUCUGGGCCGAUAUUGACGCUGAGGAGCGAAAGCGUGGGGAGCGAACAGG